rnacentral:rRNA from 1 species
AACGAACGCUGGCGGCAUGCCUAACACAUGCGAGUCGAACGAGACCUUCGGGUCUAGUGGCGCACGGGUGCGUAACGCGUGGGAACCUGCCCUUAGGUUCGGAAUAACUCCCCGAAAGGGGUGCUAACACCGGAUAAUGUCUUCGGACCAAAGAUUUAUCGCCUUUGGAUGGGCCCGCGUUGGAUUAGCUAGUUGGUAGGGUAAAAGCCUACCAAGGCGACGAUCCAUAGCUGGUCUGAGAGGAUGAUCAGCCACACUGGGACUGAGACACGGCCCAGACUCCUACGGGAGGCAGCAGUGGGGAAUAUUGGACAAUGGGCGAAAGCCUGAUCCAGCAAUGCCGCGUGAGUGAUGAAGGCCUUAGGGUUGUAAAGCUCUUUUACCCGGGAUGAUAAUGACAGUACCGGGAGAAUAAGCUCCGGCUAACUCCGUG